UGCUUCACAGAGACUUUAGUGCUUUG
rnacentral:piRNA from 1 species